GACACUCCAGUCAGCCACAAGCAGUUGAAGCAACCACCUGCAGAUCUUCCCCAUCCCAUGGGCUGUCAGCUGAGGAUGUUUCUAGAGAAGGACCCUGCUUUGGAGGCAGACUGUAACUGAAAUGCACCUGAAAUGCUCCCAAGACAUAAAACCUGACCAAGGCAUCUUUAGAAAUGAGAAGUGAUGUGGUCACAUGGCUCAAAAUAUCAAUACUCCUCCUGGGCAGGAUCAGUAAGUUGUGGAACUUCAUGGGAAGUCUGUGUUUAAGCACAAGAGUGCUCCAGAAAAGUUAUUAUUGCUGGUGGAUCAUUCAGGACCAUACAUUUCCAUCUCCUUCAGCCACAAUGACUCUUGCUUCAGCUAAUGAGAUGAAAACCCAGCUUCAUGUGGAGGAUUACUGGAUGUCUGAGCAGUG
rnacentral:lncRNA from 1 species